AGCUAAGUGGCCGAGUAGAAGGCAAUAGGCUUUUAACCUAUCUUACGGUCAAUCAUGGCCCUUAGCUA
rnacentral:tRNA from 1 species